GACGUAGGGGGCCAGCGUUGCUCGGAAUUACUGGGUGUAAAGGGUUCGUAGGCGGUGUGGCAAGUCGGGAGUGAAAUCUCUGAGCUUAACUCAGGGCCUGCUUCCGAAACUGCUGUGCUAGAGUGUGGGAGAGGCGCGUGGAAUUGCAGGUGUAGCGGUGAAAUGCGUAGAUAUCGAGAGGAACACCUGCGGCGAAGGCGGCAUCCUGGACCGACAUUGACGCUGAACGGCGAAAGCUAGGGGGGCAAACGGG
rnacentral:rRNA from 1 species